GCUGCUGUAGCUCAGUCGGUAGAGCGCGUCCUUGGUAAGGACGAGGUCACGAGUUCAAAUCUCGUCAGCAGCU
rnacentral:tRNA from 2 species